UUGGAGACUACCUGGCCAUGUCUUCCAUAUCUUAAUGGUUUGUGAAAGUCAGUGUUAUUCACUGUGAAAGGAAAUUGAUUGAACAUAGCAUGAUAUAAAUACCAGAAGGUGAGAAACACUAAGGAGACUGGCCAUGCUGCACUAGACUAAGGAAUGAGUCACAGAGGACCACAUGCAGGUGGCCCACCAUUUUAUCUUCAAAUACAGCCAGCCACUGAAACUGUUCAUGGGAUCCUAUCCUUGAGGCAUGAUGCACAUUUUACUCCUCUACAGCACUGGGUAUUUCAUACAGAAGAAGUUUAACUUCUCUUGCUGUACUUUGAGUUACAUGCUCCAACCUCACCUAUAGAGAUACUGAGCCAAUAGGGAAGUGUCCAGGACUCUAAUAUUCCAAAGAUCCAGAGAUGCUGCUGUUUGGGAACCAUGUUGAAUAAUAAUACCUGUUUCUAAUACAA